rnacentral:lncRNA from 1 species
UAUCAGCAAGGUCUUUAUGACCUGCAUCUUGUGUUGACCUCCUAUCUCACCCUGUGACUCAGAAUGCCUUAACCAUCUGGGGAUGCAGCCCAGUAAGUCUCAGCCUCAUUUUACCUGGCCCCUACUCAAGAUGGGGUUGCUCUGGUUCAAACGCCUCUGACAGGGUGACAACUGUGACCACAACAGAUUCACAAACAUGACAUUUUCAGAGAGAGGAAGCCUCCCCUGCUCUUAGUCUAUGUGAUUCGGACACAGCCAACUACAUUUCCCAGAUCCAGAAAUGAACACGCCAUUCCAAGUAAAGCCAAUGAGAGACAGCUGCAGGACUUUUGCUGGAACUAUUGGGAAAGUGGUGUUUCUUUUUCUGCUAUGGUUACUUAUCUGCUAUGCUCUAAGCCUGGAACUGCUGGAGGUCAUCUUUGCUGCAUGAAAAUGAAGUCAAUAUUGAGGACAGCAGAGAUGUGGACCCUGAGACCAGGGAGGUUGCGUGGCAUCAUUACAUCAGAAGGGGAGUGGUCUGAAUCCACUCCUCCCCUUCCAGGGCAGGAAGUCAACAGAGAAGGGCUCUGUGGUAACGUUGACAAUCACAAAUCAGUGGCAUAAACAUCUCCUUAAGACAUGCAGAGGCAGCUGGGCGUGGUGGCCCACGCCUGUAAUCCCACCAUGUGGGAGGCCAACG